rnacentral:rRNA from 1 species
CCCUUAGAUGUCCUGGGCUGCACGCGCGCUACACUGAUGUGUCCAGUAAGCACCUAACCUCUUCCGAAAGGAACGGGUAACCUUUGCAAAGCACAUCGUGAUGGGGAUAGAUUAUUGCAAUUAUUAGUCUUGAACGAGGAAUUCCUAGUAAGCACAAGUCAUCAGCUUGUGUUGAUUACGUCCCUGCCCUUUGUUCACACCGCCCGUCGCUCCUACCGAUUGAAUGUUCCGGUGAGCUCUUCGGACUGCGCGGUCUGCAGUUUCUGCGUUCCGUGCGGAAAGUUGCGCAAACCUUAACAUUUAGAGGAAGGAGAAGUCGUAACA